AGUCUGAUGGAGCAACGCCGCGUGAGUGAAGAAGGGUUUCGGCUCGUAAAGCUCUGUUGGUAGUGAAGAAAGAUAGAGGUAGUAACUGGCCUUUAUUUGACGGUAAUUACUUAGAAAGUCACGGCUAACUACGUGCCAGCAGCCGCGGUAAUACGUAGGUGGCAAGCGUUGUCCGGAUUUAUUGGGCGUAAAGCGAGUGCAGGCGGUUCAAUAAGUCUGAUGUGAAAGCCUUCGGCUCAACCGGAGAAUUGCAUCAGAAACUGUUGAACUUGAGUGCAGAAGAGGAGAGUGGAACUCCAUGUGUAGCGGUGGAAUGCGUAGAUAUAUGGAAGAACACCAGUGGCGAAGGCGGCUCUCUGGUCUGCAACUGACGCUGAGGCUCGAAAGCAUGGGUAGCGAACAGGAUUAGAUACCCUGGUAGUCCAUGCCGUAAACGAUGAGUGCUAAGUGUUGGGAGGUUUCCGCCUCUCAGUGCUGCAGCUAACGCAUUGAAGCACUCCGCCUGGGGAGUACGACCGCAAGGUUGAAACUCAAAGGAAUUGACGGGGGCCCGCACAAGCGGUGGAGCAUGUGGUUUAAUUCGAAGCAACGCGAAGAACCUUACCAGGUCUUGACAUCCAGUGCA
rnacentral:rRNA from 1 species